rnacentral:rRNA from 1 species
CGAAAGCCUGACGGAGCAAUACCGCGUGAGGGAGGAAGGCUUUUGGGUUGUAAACCUCUUUUAAUAAGGAAGAAGAAAGUGACGGUACUUAUUGAAUAAGCAUCGGCUAACUCCGUGCCAGCAGCCGCGGUAAUACGGGAGUGGCAAGCGUUAUCCGGAAUCAUUGGGCGUAAAGCGUCCGCAGGUGGCUGUUCAAGUCUGCUGUCAAAGACAGAAGCUUAACUUCUGAAAGGCAGUGGAAACUGGAGAGCUAGAGUACGGUAGGGGUUGAGGGAAUUCCCAGUGUAGCGGUGAAAUGCGUAGAUAUUGGGAAGAACACCAGUGGCGAAGGCGCUCAACUGGGCCGUAACUGACACUCAGGGACGAAAGCUAGGGGAGCG